rnacentral:rRNA from 1 species
CUUCGGGGUGCGCAGGCGCGAAAACUUUACAAUGCGGGAAACCGUGAUAAGGGGACACCGAGUGCCAGCAUCAUAUGCUGGCUGUCCAGAUGUGUAAAAUACAUCUGUUAGCAAGGGCCGGGCAAGACCGGUGCCAGCCGCCGCGGUAACACCGGCGGCCCGAGUGGUGAUCGUGAUUAUUGGGUCUAAAGGGUCCGUAGCCGGUUUGGUCAGUCCUCCGGGAAAUCUGAUAGCUCAACUAUUAGGCUUUCGGGGGAUACUGCCAGACUUGGAACCGGGAGAGGUAAGAGGUACUACAGGGGUAGGAGUGAAAUCUUGUAAUCCCUGUGGGACCACCUGUGGCGAAGGCGUCUUACCAGAACGGGUUCGACGGUGAGGGACGAAAGCUGGGGGCACGAACCGGAUUAGAUACCCGGGUAGUCCCAGCCGUAAACGAUGCUCGCUAGGUGUCAGACAUGGCGCGACCGUGUCUGGUGCCGCAGGGAAGCCGUGAAGCGAGCCACCUGGGAAGUACGGCCGCAAGGCUGAAACUUAAAGGAAUUGGCGGGGGAGCAC